UACGGAGGAUCCGAGCGUUAUCCGGAUUUAUUGGGCUUAAAGGGUGCGUAGGCGGCCUAUUAAGUCAGGGGUGAAAUACGGUGGCUCAACCAUCGCAGUGCCUUUGAUACUGAUGGGCUUGAAUCCAUUUGAAGUGGGCGGAAUAAGACAAGUAGCGGUGAAAUGCAUAGAUAUGUCUUAGAACUCCGAUUGCGAAGGCAGCUCACUAAGCUGGUAUUGACGCUGAUGCACGAAAGCGUGGGGAUCGAACAGG
rnacentral:rRNA from 1 species